GAUCGCGUAGCUCAGUUGGCAGAGCAUUGGACUAGUAUCCCAAAGGUCGCGGGUUCGAUUCCCACCGUGGCCA